rnacentral:rRNA from 1 species
CCUACGGGUGGCAGCAGUGAGGAAUCUUGGUCAAUGGACGAGAGUCUGAACCAGCCAAGUAGCGUGAAGGAUGACUGCCCUAUGGGUUGUAAACUUCUCUUAUAUGGGAAUACAACAGGGUAUGCAUACCCUCUUGUAUGUCCAAUAUGAAUAAGGCUCGGCUAACUCCGUGCCAGCAGCCGCGGUAAUACGGAGGCUCCGAGCGUUAUCCGGAUUUAUUGGGUUUAAAGGGUCCGUAGGUGGAUUGUUAAGUCAUGUGUGAAAGUUAGCGGCUCAACCGUAAAAUUGCAGUUGAAACUGGCAGUCUUGAGUACAGUAGAGGUAGACGGAAUUCGUGGUGUAGCGGUGAAAUGCUUAGAUAUCACGAAGAACUCCGAUUGCGUAAGCGGCUCACUGGACUGCAACUGACACUGAUGCUCGAAAGUGUGGGUAGCAAAUGGGAUUAGAUACCCCGGUAGUC